GAGGAUUCGUUUCUACAGCAAUGGCUGCAUUUGUUUGCAUCAUUAGGUGAUCAUGCAAAGAGCUGGGAUAACGUGGCUGUGUUAGUUGAUGAAACUAUUAAACCACAAGCUCCGUGUAGCCCAAUCCUACAGACCCCAACACGCCAGAACAUAAAACAAAAGGCCACUCUAAUAAGG